UUACAUCAUGGGUCAGGGAAGGAUGGGGAAAUAACUUUUUCCCAGGGUGAAGCUCAUCCAUUGAGCUCCGGGUGUGCUGACCCCUGCAAUUUCCCCAAAUGUGGGAAACUCAACUGCAUAAUUUGUGGUAGUCAGUAUUAUUGUAGUCAGUAUUAUUAU